CUCCGGUUGAUCCCGCCGGACCUGACUGCUAUCGGAUUGGUACUAAGCCAUGCGAGUCAUUGUAGCAAUACAAGGCGGACGGCUCAGUAACACGUAGUCAACCUAACUCGUGGACGUGGAUAACCUCGGGAAACUGAGAAUAAACCACGAUAGAUCAUAGUGCCUGGAAUGGCUUAUGGUCCAAACAGUUUACUGCCAUGGGAUGGGACUGCGGCCUAUCAGCUUGUUGGUGAGGUAAUGGCCCACCAAGGCGAUUACAGGUACGGGCUCUGAGAGGAGAAGCCCGGAGAUGGGUACUGAGACACGGACCCAGGCCCUAUGGGGCGCAGCAGGCGAGAAACCUUAGCAAUGUGCGAAAGCACGACUGGGUCAGUCCGAGUGAUUCCUGAUAAAGGAGUCUUUUGCUUGUCCUAAAAGCACAGGUGAAUAAGGGGUGGGCAAGUCUGGUGUCAGCCGCCGCGGUAAUACCAGCACCUCGAGUGGUCAGGACGUUUAUUGGGCCUAAAGCAUCCGUAGCCGGCUUUGCAAGUCUUCGGUUAAAUCCACCUGCUCAACAGAUGGGCUGCUGGAGAUACUACAAAGCUAGGGAGUGGGAGAGGCAGACGGUAUUCAGUGGGUAGGGGUAAAAUCCUCUGAUCCAUUGAGGACCACCAGUGGCGAAGGCGGUCUGCCAGAACACGUUCGACGGUGAGGGAUGAAAGCUGGGGGAGCAAACCGGAUUAGAUACCCGGGUAGUCCCAGCUGUAAACGAUGCAAACUCGGUGAUGCAUUGGCUUAUGGCCAAUGCAGUGCCGCAGGGAAGCCGUUAAGUUUGCCGCCUGGGAAGUACGGACGCAAGUCUGAAACUUAAGGAAUUGGCGGGGGAGCA
rnacentral:rRNA from 1 species